rnacentral:rRNA from 1 species
ACGCACGCUGGCGGCGUGCUUAACCCAUGCCAGUCGAACGGAAAGGCCCUGCUUUUGUGGGGUGCUCGAGUGGCGAACGGGUGAGUAACACGUGAGUAACCUGCCCUUGACUUUGGGAUAACUUCAGGAAACUGGGGCUAAUACCGGAUAGGAGCUCCUGCUGCAUGGUGGGGGUUGGAAAGUUUCGGCGGUUGGGGAUGGACUCGCGGCUUAUCAGCUUGUUGGUGGGGUAGUGGCUUACCAAGGCUUUGACGGGUAGCCGGCCUGAGAGGGUGACCGGCCACAUUGGGACUGAGAUACGGCCCAGACUACUACGGGAGGCAGCAGUGGGGAAUAUUGCACAAUGGGCGGAAGCCUGAUGCAGCAACGCCGCGUGCGGGACGACGGCCUUCGGGUUGUAAACCGCUUUCGCCUGUGACGAAGCGUGAGUGACGGUAAUGGGUAAAGAAGCACCGGCUAACUACGUG